rnacentral:sRNA from 1 species
UCCGUUGGUGAACCAGCGGAGGGAUCAUUAUCGAAGUUACUCUUCAUACCCAUUUGUGAACACUACCCCAUUGCCGCGCGUUGCCUCGGCGGUGAGGUCCGCGGGGGGGUGGGCAGCGCUCCGGCGCCGCCCGCCCCUCCCCGGGCCCCCGCCGGCCGCGCCUUACUCUUAAUUUGCAAAGCGGACUGUACGAUCUGAUUAAUCUUGAUAAACAAGUCAAAACUUUCAACAACGGAUCUCUUGGUUCUGGCAUCGAUGAAGAACGCAGCGAAAUGCGAUAAGUAAUGUGAAUUGCAGAAUUCAGUGAAUCAUCGAAUCUUUGAACGCACAUUGCGCCCGGCAGCAAUCUGCCGGGCAUGCCUGUCCGAGCGUCAUUUCUCCCCUCGAGCGCGGUUGGCCCCUAGCGGGCCGGCCGCCGCCCGGUGUUGGGGCACUGCGGGCCACAGCGCCCGCAGGCCCUCAAAUGAAGUGGCGGUCCCGCCGCGGCGCCCCCUGCGUAGUAGUAAAGCACCUCGCAUCGGGUCCCGGCGAAGACCAGCCGUCGAACCUAUCUCUUGAUGGUUUGACCUCGGAUCAGGUAGGGAUACCCGCUGAACUUAAGCAUAUCAAUAA